rnacentral:lncRNA from 1 species
CUGUAAUAUAGUUCUUCACUUGUGACUAUUUAAUUUUCAUGUUACACUUUUCAGGCAUUUCGAUCAUUAGUUUUCGGCAUAAGUCAAUGAGCAAAAGCACGUCUUAAAUCUUUGCAAUACAGGAAGGAUUCCCAAAUUAGAGAAUGUAUUUUAGUCAACACAGAAUUUACCUUACAAUGGAGUCAGAGAGAUAGUGACCGAAAAUGUUCCAUUGGCUCCAGUUGUCCCAACUCAUGAAAAAGUCCCAAAGAGAAGAGCUGUUAAGUCCAGGUCUCUACCAUCUUCACCAUCCCCACAUGGACAUGGGUCAAGGUUGCGUCCCCUACAUGAGGAGACAAGAGGAAUGUGUUGGGGUAAAGGAAUACGUAAGAUGUUGCAGCUAGAAGCUUUGGAUGAAAAGGGAUUCCAAGAAAAUGAGGCAAUCUCAUCUCAAAACUGUUGAAAACUACUCGCCUGUCUCUCGAUGAACCGUCAGUAGGAAAGGCGUCGUUUAUUCCCUCACUCCACACUGGAUUCAAAUGGGCUGAUAGCAGGAGGAUUAAAAAAUUUUUCAUCAUGAGUUAAAGCCCUAAGAUUUAGAGUAUUUUGUUUGUCUGAAUGUCUAACUGGUACAAACCUUAGCAAUCCAUAUUAAAAUGGAGAAUUCCUUCUUUUGGUAUUCACAAGCAUAACAUAC